rnacentral:lncRNA from 10 species
CGGAAGUUGAGCUUCAGGCGCGGCUCUUCCCCGUCACACUGGGACCGGACGCAUUUCCAUGGCGUGGUCCCAGGAACCUCUCAGGUCAUGCCAGCAACUGGGACUUCCUGUGGAAUGCAAGGGCAGUGGGGCCUCCGCGAGAGAGAGAGAGAGAGAGAGAGAGAGAAGAGAGAGAUAUUAAGGAUGAAUCCCAGUGUCUGCUCUGAGCAAAUUGGAAGACGAUGGCAUCAGGGGCACUGCUCUGGGCUAUAUAGACUGUGCCUCCACUAAAGGGUCCCUGAGACCAGGUGUGGGCCCGUAUCCCUGGAGGGAGAGGUAACUUCCUCUGAUUCGAAGGCAUCAUAUAGGCUAGUGAAUGGCACUGAGAAUGGCAGAUGCCAGGGACAAGCAGGAGCAUGUGUGGGAUGAGGAUGCGGCGUGGAUGUGUGACGUUUCAGAGCCUGCAACACAUCCGUAGGGAAGUCCUGGAGGAGCAGUUGGGUGCAUGGUGGAGUUCUGAAACAGCUGGGCAGUCGGCACUUGAGCCAGAGAUUCUGCUUUCGACCUGGAUGCCCAUUGAGAGGUUAAGAGCUCAGGUCUGGGUCAGGCAGCUUGGAAGCAGCACAGCUUGGACACUUGGUAGCCUGGGACUGUGGUUAAAUCAACGUGACUCUCGGAGCUCCAGUUCACUGUAAAUUAGGGCAGUAAAUGAUGUCUACAUGAUAAGUGGUGUUAUGAAUGUUAAACAUUCACAUGAAAUACAUAGAAUAGUGCUUAGCAUACAGUACACAAUAACUGUUAGCUAUUUGGAAAAUUACUAUUGUUAUUAUGAUUAUUUAUUACAGAGUGAACUGAAUUGGAUGCAAGAUCACGGUGCGUCAGAGCUAGCAAGAUCCUUAGGAUCAUUUAGCCUGGUUUACUAAUAUUACACUAUGGAAUUUAAGCCCAAGGAAUGGAGAGUACCCGACGAGCGUUAUGUAAGGAGUCGAGUGAGAAGUAAGCUGGAUGCUCUGCUUGGCUGGCAGGUACAGAAUGUGCCAGACCCAUCUGUACCAGCCUGGAUCUCUUGAGGCAUCAGCACAAUGGACCUGGCCACACCAGUUUAUUCCACACCGCUGAGGCUGGUCUUUGAGGAAUCACCACACUGUCUUCCACAAUGGUUGUACUAAUUUACAUUUGCUGGUGCUGUUUUCUACAUUGAAUCUGAGGGCUACUGUAUGAUGUGUAAGACACUUUCUGAUUGGAGCCUCACAAUGAUCCUACCAGAGCAUGCAGUCCAUUUGGAAACAUGCAUGUGGGAAAGUGGGGAGGGACCCUGUCAAGCAUCUAAGAGGAGUGGUGGCAUUUGCUGUGUCCACCUCCAUCCUUCCCACUCACUACUCAGCACCUAUAGCCUUGUCGCUCUCCCCAACACUCUGCUGAGACUGUUGUCACCAAAAACACUAUUGUCCGGCUCCCUGUUGAAAGGACCGACUCUCAGGAGAUGAAGAUCCAAUCACUCUAUCAAAGAAUAUGAGCAUUUCCGAGGCUCUUGUAAGACAUCCAGCCUCCAGAACUGUGAGUACUAUGCUGAAGAGAGCCCUCAUCAGCACCUGACCAACCUGACCAUGCUGCACCCUCAUCUUAGACGUUCAGCCUCCAGAACUGUGAAUACUAUGCUGAAGAGAGCCCUCACCAGCACCUGACCAUGCUGCACCCUCAUCUCAGAUGUCCAGCCUCCAGAACUGCACCAAGAUCUACGGUUCCCUGGAAGAAUGUAUAGAGCUGAGGAGCUGAAAGGAAUAAACUACUCUCAAGUAAACAUCUUUGGGUACUUUCAGCAACUUCAAAUUGUUCUCACCUUGAUCCAGCUGAGAAUGGUAAGUAGGCAUAGGGGUGUCUCUGAUCAGAAUUCUCCUGAGAGAACCUCAAGGGGUCAAAGACCUGAAAUGAGAGGACAACCCCAACACCAUCCCCCAAACAACAUGAACACAUUUCUUCACCUACCACCUAGCACCGAUCAAUAGAAAUAUAAUGUGAUCUACAUGUGUAAUUUAAAAUGUUCUGGUGGUCACAUUUUUAAAAGGUGAAGUUAAUCUUAAUAGAGUUUAUUUAACCAAAAAUUACCAUUCCAACCUGUAAUCAAUAUAAAUAAUUACUAAAAGGAAAUGUUUCACAUUUUUUUAGGGUACUAUGUCUUCAAAAUCCAGCACGUAUUUUAAACUUACAGCACAACUCAAUUCCAACUGGCCACAUGUCAUGUGCUCAGUAGCCGUAUGUGGCCCGUGGCUACUACACUGGGCAGUGUACCUUCAGACCUGCAGACCUUGCAGCUUCACAGCUGAUUUGUCUGAUACCCAGGCAAACAAAAAUACUAUGGCAAGUGGUAUUAUUUUCACUAUGGAGAUACAUCCACUUAGAAAUGGAUGUGCAUCCACUUAGAAAUCAAGUCAAAAUGAUGAUGUGGCCAAUUAUUACAGAGACAUAUACUCCAGCUUCCUGUUACAAGUAAUAGAUCUUAAACCUUAGUGGCUUACAUGAAAGAAAUCACUGAUACACGUCAAGAGUGUUUCAAGAACAUAGAAUAGUUUUACAUUUCUUUUGGCUUUUAUGUUUAUUUUUGUUUAAUUUGUGUCAUUUCCCUUAAUUAUAUAGCCACUUCUGUGCUUAGCUACCAAAAAGUGACUUGCACAGCAUUAGUUCUUGGAAGUAUUUAUGUACAAGAGAGAAUCAUACCUUUGGGUUUUUCCAGACAGCAGGGUUGUGGUGAAGACCCCAAAUACUAAGAACCACGGUGAUCCCUAAGAAAGGAGGGAAAUAAAAGAGACUGCAGGAGAAAGAGCAAGUUGUGGGCUACUGUGCUCUUAAACAAGACUUUUGUUCUUGAAGGGAAGAGCUAGCUCCUGGCAAUGCUCUGCCUGCUGUAGCUGAUGACACCAGUGAGGAGCACCUAAGAAGAUGCGGCUUGGGUUGGCACCUUAGCUUUCCACACAACAAUUUACUGAAUUCAUGAUUCUAUCUUAAGUAGCUGUUGGUGUCAUAUCAAAGUGAUAAACCAUGCUUAUAUUUUCUGCUAUGUUUGGAAAUUACUUAAAUAUUUGUUUUUUGUUUUUGUUUAGAGUCAGGGUCUGGCCUGUCAAUCAGGCUGGAGAGCAGUGGCGUGAACAUUGCUCACGGUAACCUUGAACUUCUGAGCUCAAGUGAUCCUCCUGCCUCAGUCCCCCAAGUAGGCAGGAAUACAAGCAUGCAACACCAUGCCUGGCUAUCUCUCUCUUUUUUUUUUUUUGUAAAGACAGGGUCUCCCUAUGUUGCCCAGGCUAGUCUCAGACUCCUAACUUCAAGCAGUCUUCCCACCUUGGUGUCACAAAAUAUUGGGAUUAUAUGCGUCAGCCACUGUGCCUGGCCUAAAUACCUAUUAAUGGACUAUUAAGCACUCCUGGAGACAAUUUAGGUAUAAAAGCACAGAACUGGCUGGGUGCAGUGGCUCAUGGCUGUAGUCCCAGCGCUUUGGGAGGCUGAGGAGGGCUGGUCUCGAGAUCAGGAGCUUGAGACUAGCCUGGCCAACAUGGUGAAACCCCAUCUCUAAUAAAAAUACAAAAAUUUGCCAGGCGUGGUGUGCACCUGUAAUCCCAGCUACUCGGGAGGCUGAGGCAGGAGAACUGCUUAAACCUGGGAGGCAGAGGUUGCAGUGAGCCGAGAUUACGCCACUGUACUCCAGCCUGGGCUACAUAGCAAGACUCUGUCUUGAGAGGAAAACGCACACACACACACACAGAACUGUGAUUCUGUCAUGCAGAUCCCAUGACAAAUUUCCAUUGGUGCUAUUCACAUAUGGAAAGUGGAGAAUUUUGGCAAAUAUCCAUGUGGUUUGGGGAGAAACAGAGUACAAAACAAAGGAGAGAGAAUGUGAGGGUUAUUUGGUUUCCAGAAAUAAUUCUAGCUUCCAGAAAUUAAUUCUGGGUCUGUCAGCAAAGUUACAGUAACAGGCUGUAGGUGUUUGCCAGAAGCAAUCCUGUUGGCUUGCUUCCUAAGACAUGAAUUAAUAGAACAUUGAAUCAGAUAAUAUGUCUCACAUGACCCCUCUGCUUCCUAUAAGCCCUGCUCAGAAACCUGUGUUGUUCCGAAGAACUCUAGGCUCCAGACUCAGGGUCUCCGCACAAGUUCUAGCUCUGCUCACAUCAGUUAAUGUCAUCUACACAUUGGGGCUGCCUCUGGAUUUUGGGCCACAUUGAAAGUACUUAAAAGUGUUCAGUGAACUGUAAAUCAUUGUAUAAGCGUCUGUUAACAUUGGAUUCCAAGGGGAAAAAUGAGAUAAUGGGUCUGAAGGCUCUAUAUUAACUAUUAAAUGUUGUAUAUUUAUAAGGGUGAUAUUAUGAUGAUGAGGCCAAAGAUCCCCCUUGGUCUUUCAGAUAAAGAUGCUGGUGCUAUUUUCCAUGAAGUUUCAGCUCGGUCUCAAACUCAGCCAAACAAAGAUUAUCUUAGAAAUGAUGUCCCACAAUGGAAGAGACCCUGGGCUGGGAUUCCAGAGACAUGGAUUCUGGGCUUAGCUUUGCUGCAACUGGCUAUGUGCCUUUGGGAAAGUCAUUGAAAUUCAUGUCUGACCAAAGCAUUAUCCUCUGAGCUCCUCAUAGGUGAUAAAACCUAAGUCACAUGUUAGCAUUAUCUUUUGACUUCUCCAAGUGCUAAGAGACUCACUAAUCUUUGUCACUGUGGUCUCCAGGAUCCCAUAGCCUCUAAGAACUGCUUAGGAAAAGAAUGUAAAGACCUGCAGGCAAUGUGCAUCCAUCUGGGAAGGUAAGUGGCUUGCUGAGAUCUCUGGAAAUGGACGGGACUGCAGGAAUCAAUCGGCACGUCUCCUUGAUGCACAUUGUGGUGUACGACAUCUCACCCAGCUGGUCCCUGUGAGGAUGAGGGAGGGAAGGGACUCAGAUAUCAUAACCAGUUUACUUUUUUUCUGUUUUCUGUUUGUUCCUGGUAAUUAUUACCCUCAGGUUAAAGCCAUUUUGCCACUGGUUUAUGUAACAGAAUGUUAAAAUGGGACUCUCUGCCUCAGGAUGAGCUGAGGUCCCAGAGGCAGAGGAACCAAAGAAAUAUAUCAUAUAUCCUUAUUAUAAAGUGAGCUGCUAAACUAGCAGUAAAACAUUUGCUAAGGAGAUUUCUAAAAACCAGUUUUGUAACUCUUAGCUCAUCAUAUAAAGUAAUAAUACAUAAAAAUGGCGAAGGAUUAAAGAGGAGAGGCUUAAGAAUUUUGAGAGAAAAAAUUAUUUAAAGUGUUGUUGGAAUGCCAGAGUGCCAUGGAAAAGGAAGGGUGCUUCCCCCAUCUUAAACAAGAGGCUUCAAGAGGAUCACUUAGAUGAUCUGACUUGUGCUCCUUGGAGUUUGGGGAGUACAGGACUGAUGUGAAAGGCUAUAACUCAGAACAGACAGAAAGGCAGAGGACAGCAGCAGAGGCAAGGCAAGGAUGUGCAACUGUGUCCUUAAACCAAUUAACUGGCAAGAGGGAAAGCUCUGGGACCAGCUUGAAAAAGAGUCUGCCUAAGGACAAUUAUUCUCUUGUCCCCUGAAUCACCUCUGGAAAGUUCUAGUGAGAGAGUCUCCAAGAAAGGGAGUUUCCUCUUGAGAGAAAGGGAAGCAUGGAAUAUCCACCAAGCCCUUUGGCAUGAUCACAAUAGUACCAGCCCUUUACUCCUUAUCCCCUUUCCUCCUAAAACCAUUCCUGGAGGGCCCAGAAACAGCAGCUACUGGGUAUUGGGGAGCUAGUCAGUAAGAAUAAGUCGAUGAUAAACCACUGCUGGCUUCUAGGACCAAAGAAGUACCAAGCUGGGAUGGAAAGAAGAGCUCAAGUGGAUAAGUAUUUGAAAGUUUCAGUAUUACACUGGGCCAGAUAGUUUAAUUACUGACCUAAGAUUGUUCUUGUGAUUUAAAUGAAUGAGAACUCUAUGAGACUUACUCAGGAUCUUUCCCCAGAGAUAAAAAGAACUUGCUCCACAAAGCAGGUUUAAAGUUUAUAAGUGGAAGAAGAAUAAAGUUUUUUUUAAAUUUGCAUCCUACCUAGUCUGCAUCCAAUCUAGUCAGAUUGGUUCCAUAAAAUGACUGCAUAUAUUUAGUCUGUUUAUCUUAUUGUGUUUUUAUAUGUUUUUCUGAUUACUUAUUUUGAAUGCAGGCUUUGGCCAUUAGGUAAUGUGAAAUUUUAAUUUUGAAUUCUUUCUUCCUCAAGCUCAGGAUAAAUAAGAGUAAUUCUGGCCAGGCGCAGUGGCUCACACCUGCAAUCCCAGCACUUUGGGAGGCCUAGGUGGGCGGAUCAUCUGAGGUCGGGUGUUCAAGACCAGCCUGACCAACAUGGAGAAACCCCGUCUCUACUAAAAAUGCAAAAUUAGCCGAGCAUGGUGGUGCAUGCCUGUAAUCCCAGCUACUCAGGAAGGCUGAGGCAGAAGAAUCGCUUGAACCUGGGAGGCAGAGGUUGCGGUAA